ACGCUCGACACCUACGGAGGCAGCAGUGGGGAAUAUUGCACAAUGGGGGAAACCCGUGAUGCAGCGACGCCGCGUGAGCGAAGAAGUAUCUCGGUAUGUAAAGCUCUAUCAGCAGGGAAGAAGAUGACGGUACCUGACUAAGAAGCACCGGCUAAAUACGUGCCAANAGCCGCGGUAAUCUGAGCGGGCUGGCAAGGC
rnacentral:rRNA from 1 species